rnacentral:rRNA from 1 species
UCGGAUCGCAGGCUGCAACCCGCCUGCGUGAAGUCGGAAUCGCUAGUAAUCGCGGAUCAGCAUGCCGCGGUGAAUACGUUCCCGGGCCUUGUACACACCGCCCGUCACACCAUGAGAGUCGGGAACACCCGAAGUCCGUAGCCUAACAGCAAUGAGGGCGCGGCCGAAGGUGGGUUCGAUAAUUGGGGUGAAGUCGUAACAAGGUACC